rnacentral:rRNA from 1 species
GACGAACGCUGGCGGCGUGCUUAACACAUGCAAGUCGAACGGAAAGGCCCUGCUUUUGUGGGGUGCUCGAGUGGCGAACGGGUGAGUAACACGUGAGUAACCUGCCCUUGACUUUGGGAUAACUUCAGGAAACUGGGGCUAAUACCGGAUAGGAGCUCCUGCUGCAUGGUGGGGGUUGGAAAGUUUCGGCGGUUGGGGAUGGACUCGCGGCUUAUCAGCUUGUUGGUGGGGUAGUGGCUUACCAAGGCUUUGACGGGUAGCCGGCCUGAGAGGGUGACCGGCCACAUUGGGACUGAGAUACGGCCCAGACUCCUACGGGAGGCAGCAGUGGGGAAUAUGGCACAAUGGGCGGAAGCCUGAUGCAGCAACGCCGCGUGCGGGAUGACGGCCUUCGGGUGGUAAACCGCUUUCGCCUGUGACGAAGCGUGAGUGACGGUAAUGGGGAAAGAAGCACCGGCUACUACGUG